rnacentral:rRNA from 1 species
GUCUGUGGCUAUAAUACCCGGAAUGCACCUAAUCUCAUCUGAUCUUAGAAGCUAAGCAGGGUCAGCUUCUUGGUUAGUAUGUGGAUGGGAGACAUGGGAGACUGCCUGGGAAUACCAGGUGCUAUAGGCU